CGAAAAUCUUUCGCAAUGGGCGAAAGCCUGACGAAGCGACGCCGUGUGAACGAAGAAGGCCUUAGGGUUGUAAAGUUCUUUCGCUGGGGAACAAGAGAGACUGGCUAACAUCCAGUUAAUUUGAUGGUACUCGGUAAAGAAGCACCGGCUAACUCCGUGCCAGCAGCUGCGGUAAUACGGAGGGUGCAAGCAUUGAUCGGAAUUAUUGGGCGGAAAGGGCGCGUAGGCGGCUAGAUAAGUCAGAUGUGAAAUUCCGGGGCUCAACCCCGGGGCCGCAUUUGAAACUGUCCAGCUAGAGUAUAGUUAGGGAAAACGGAAUUCCACGUGUAGCGGUGAAAUGCGUAGAUAUGUGGAAGAACACCGGUGGUGAAGACGGUUUUCUAGGCGAAAACUGACGCUGAGGCGCGAAAGCUAGGGGAGCAAACA
rnacentral:rRNA from 1 species